CCUGAACAGAUUCACAGAGACGAGCUUCGGAGAUCUUUCCAGAUAAGCGCUUUAUAUAUAUCUAAAACAGCGUCAAACCACAUGUACGACUCCUAAUCAGGUGAUCUUAAUGAAAUUCGCAAAGGAAAUGCGAAAAUACUGUAGGUCACCAACAACAAGAACAAAGCGCAAGAUUGGAAGAUAAGUUCGAGUGACUCGCCUAGUGACUGGACUUAUAAGCAUAUUGUGCAGCAAAGUGCAGCAGUACAUUUCCCUGCUGGUGUGUCGACGUACCAGAUGGCUUCACUGUUCUGCGUUGUUCUCUUGUUCUCUCCUUGCUCUUGCUUCUGAGCGUUCAGGUGCUGUCGAGAUAACGGUGGCUUCACCCCACUGUGACCCCCGGGUCGACCGACGCUUCGAAGGGUGCCCUGAAGGGUACUGCUGCGUGAGGGACGAGUAUGUCCCCUCCUUCGUUUACUGCAAGCGCCUGGGCCACGUAGACGACAACUGCACCACCCGUGACUCUGAGUCUGGGUGUCCGUGUUUGGCCGGUCUGACCUGUCACCCCAACGCGCAGAGCGCCACCUUUGUGUCGAUGUACGGUCGCUGCCACAAUACAACGGACGUCGUCCAUUCAGUCUAAGGAAACCUUCCAGUCGAGCUUAUACCAACAUUCCUUCUAUGUGGUACCAAGACUGAAAUUCACUCCAUACAGGUCCUCUGUAUCAAAGUCCUAAUCAGGGUGACAAGAAAUAAAUCUAUGAAUGCGGCAUGUAACAUUUACUGGGUUGGGGUUAAAGGUAGGGUUAAGGGACAGUUUUGUAAAGCAUUUUAUUAACUAAAAGAAGCACUGUUGUAUAUAAUAUGUAGCUCUCGAUACAAUCACUAUGACUUAUAGAGGCUUAGUCUAAACUGCCACAACAGUUAGUCAAAAGACACGAGACCUUGUAUGGGAUGGAUUCCCCGUCGGCGCCCCUUAGAGACCCUUGUUCAUGAACCUGAGAAAUCGACCUGCCAACGGACUGAGACCUCAAUCCUAACAUCAUUUAAACACAGUGGGAUGGUGGUAUAUCAUGUGGCAGCCCCCUUGUAAUGUGGUAGAUAAUGUAGCUUUUGCAGUAUAUAUGUAUAGAGCAAAAUGUUUAAUUUUCAUUUCAUUUCGGAUUCAAGAAAUAGCUUCAAUGGUGAGGGUCUUAACCUUAAACUGUAAAUGUACUUCAUCAUUCAACUGCUCAGAUGGCAAGAUGACGCUUAGAACAACCAAAUUUCUUCAGAUUUAAAGAUUAGUUUGUAGAACACAAAGGAAUUCUAUUGUAAUUAUCUUUCUUCUCUUCAUUUAUCAGCUGUUUCGGUUUUCAGUGUUUGAUUUGAAUCUUACAAAGUGCUUUAAUUGAUUAGCUUUAUUUUGUAUUAUAAGAACGCAUGUUCGACAUUUUGCAACAAAAAUAAAAACAACUGAAGUUGAAUUUUUUCAUUCAUUGAUUUUUGUGAGCGAUGCCAUAUUUUAUUAUUGUGGGCUGCUGCGCUGAAGCAGUUAAUUUGUUUGUGAACUGUAUAAAAUAAAGAAUCUUUGUUCAAGGAAUAAAAUUAUUUGCUUCAUUUCA
rnacentral:misc_RNA from 1 species